rnacentral:rRNA from 1 species
GAUGAACGCUGGCAGAAUGCUUAACACAUGCAAGUCGACCUGAACUUCGGUUUGGGUGGCGGUCGGGUGAGUAACGCGUAAAGAACUUGCCUCACAGCUAGGGACAACAUUUGGAAACGGAUGCUAAUACCGGAUAUUAUGAUUAUAUGGCAUCGUAUAAUUAUGACAGCUAUAUGCGCUGUGAGAGAGCUUUGCGUCCCAUUAGCUAGUUGGAGAGGUAACAGCUCACCAAGGCGAUGAUGGCUAGCCGGCCUGGGAGGGUGAUACGGUACAAGGGCACUCAGAAACGACCCGUAGUGAAACGUGCGGAAUGGGUGGGAACCAGAGGCAGAUGGGCCGAGAGUAUGAUGAAGGAAUUCGGUUUGUAAAAUGCUGUUUUUCGGAAUGAAAAGUGCUUUCAGUUGGGAAGAAAAAAAUGACGGUACCAACAGAAGAAGCGACGGCUAAAUACGUG